UCCAAUACCAACAUUAGUGUGCGAUGGAAGGACGCUUAGGGCUAAGGGGGCUAGCGGAUGGAAGUGCUAGUCUAAGGUCGUAGGAGGUUAUACAGGCAAAUCCGUAUAACAAUACUCCGAGAACUGAAAGGCUUUUUGAAGUCUUCGGAUGGAUAGAAGAACCCCUGAUGCCGUCGAGCCAAGAAAAGUUUCUAAGUUUAGCUAAUGUUGCCCGUACCGUAAACCGACACAGGUGGGUGGGAUGAGUAUUCUAAGGCGCGUGGAAGAACUCUCUUUAAGGAACUCUGCAAAAUAGCACCGUA
rnacentral:rRNA from 1 species